AACGAACGCUGGCGGCAUGCCUAACACAUGCAAGUCGAACGAGACCUUCGGGUCUAGUGGCGCACGGGUGCGUAACGCGUGGGAACCUGCCCUUGGGUUCGGAAUAACUCCCCGAAAGGGGUGCUAAUACCGGAUAAUGUCUUCGGACCAAAGAUUUAUCGCCUUUGGAUGGGCCCGCGUUGGAUUAGCUAGUUGGUAGGGUAAAAGCCUACCAAGGCGACGAUCCAUAGCUGGUCUGAGAGGAUGAUCAGCCACACUGGGACUGAGACACGGCCCAGACUCCUACGGGAGGCAGCAGUGGGGAAUAUUGGACAAUGGGCGAAAGCCUGAUACAGCAAUGCCGCGUGAGUGAUGAAGGCCUUAGGGUUGUAAAGCUCUUUUACCCGGGAUGAUAAUGACAGUACCGGGAGAAUAAGCUCCGGCUAACUCCGUG
rnacentral:rRNA from 1 species